UACAGAGGGGGCAAGCGUUGUUCGGAAUUACUGGGCGUAAAGCGCGUGUAGGCGGUUGCCCAAGUCGGGUGUGAAAGCCUUGAGCUCAACUCAAGAAAUGCACUCGGUACUGGGUGACUAGAGGACCGGAGAGGAUAGUGGAAUUCCCAGUGUAGUGGUGAAAUACGUAGAGAUUGGGAAGAACACCAGUGGCGAAGGCGGCUAUCUGGACGGUUUCUGACGCUAAGACGCGAAAGCGUGGGGAGCAAACAGG
rnacentral:rRNA from 1 species